GUGUGUUUGUAUGAGUGUGUGUGUGUAUAUAAUGCAGAGUGUGUGUUUGUAUGAGUGUGUGUGUGUAUAUAAUGCAGAGUGUGUGUUUGUAUAAGUGUGUGUGUAUAUAAUGCAGAGUGUGUGUUUGUAUAAGUGUGUGUGUAUAUAAUGCAGAGUGUGUGUAUAUAAUUAUAAAAAUCACAGAAUUUCAUAGCCCCAAGUUUUACCCUCGACUUAUCCACGAGGCAAAGCAUAUUUCACAAUUGUUGGUCACAAAACUGCACUCGACUUAUACAUGAGAUCGACUUAUA